rnacentral:rRNA from 1 species
GACGAACGCUGGCGGCGUGCUUAACACAUGCAAGUCGAACGGAAAGGCCCUGCUUGCAGGGUACUCGAGUGGCGAACGGGUGAGUAACACGUGGGUGAUCUGCCCUGCACUUCGGGAUAAGCCUGGGAAACUGGGUCUAAUACCGGAUAGGAGCCAUUUUUAGUGUGAUGGUUGGAAAGUUUUUUCGGUGUAGGAUGAGCUCGCGGCCUAUCAGCUUGUUGGUGGGAUAAUGGCCUACCAAGGCGGCGACGGGUAGCCGGCCUGAGAGGGUGGACGGCCACAUUGGGACUGGGAUACGGCCCAGACUCCUACGGGAGGCAGCAGUGGGGAAUAUUGCACAAUGGGCGCAAGCCUGAUGCAGCGACGCCGCGUGGGGGAGGACGGCCUUCGGGUUGUAAACUCCUUUCGCUAGGGACGAAGCUUUUUGUGACGGUACCUAGAUAAGAAGCACCGGCUAACUACGUG